CUUUUCUAUGGAAGCUUGCUUCCACUGAGAAGAUAGUGGCGGACGGGUGAGUAACACGUGGGUAACCUGCCCAUAAGAGGGGGAUAACAUCCGGAAACGGGUGCUAAUACCGCAUAGUUUUCUUGAUCGCAUGAUCGAGAAAGGAAAGACGGCCUUUGUGCUGUCGCUUAUGGAUGGACCCGCGGCGUAUUAGUUAGUUGGUGAGGUAACGGCUCACCAAGACGAUGAUACGUAGCCGACCUGAGAGGGUGAUCGGCCACAUUGGGACUGAGACACGGCCCAAACUCCUACGGGAGGCAGCAGUAGGGAAUCUUCCGCAAUGGACGAAAGUCUGACGGAGCAACGCCGCGUGAGUGAAGAAGGUUUUCGGAUCGUAAAACUCUGUUGUCAGAGAAGAACAAGUCGGAGAGUAACUGCUCCGGCCUUGACGGUAUCUGACCAGAAAGCCACGGCUAACUACGUGCCAGCAGCCGCGGUAAUACGUAGGUGGCAAGCGUUGUCCGGAUUUAUUGGGCGUAAAGCGAGCGCAGGCGGUUCCUUAAGUCUGAUGUGAAAGCCCACGGCUCAACCGUGGAAGGUCAUUGGAAACUGGGGAACUUGAGUGCAGAAGAGGAGAGUGGAAUUCCAUGUGUAGCGGUGAAAUGCGUAGAUAUAUGGAGGA
rnacentral:rRNA from 1 species